AAUUUAGUUACCAAACCGUAUGUAUCAUCUUGUGCUGAGCGGCGGUGUGUUGCAUUCAGAUGAUUCGUGGGGACAUUAGCCGCAACACGCUCCUCGCCCUCAUCAACAAAGCUUGCACCUUCCCGCACCUUGCCGAAACCCACGCGCAGCUCAUCCGCAACGGUUACCACCACGACCUCGCCACCGUUACCAAGCUCACCCAGAAGCUCUUUGACGUAGGCGCCGCGCACCACGCACGUGCCCUCUUCUUCUCGGUUCCCAAGCCUGACAUCUUCCUCUUCAACGUCGUCAUCAAAGGCCUCUCCUUCUUCCCCAACGCUUCAUCCGUUUCCCUCUACACCCAUCUCCGCAAAAACACCAGCCUCUCCCCAGAUAACUUCACCUAUGCCUUCGCCGUCGCCGCUUGCCCCGACGACAAGCUCGGCAUGUGCUUGCACACGCAUGCCGUCAUCGAUGGCUUCGCGUCGAACCUCUUUGUGGCGUCCGCGCUCGUUGACUUGUACUGUAAGUUUUCUCGUGUGGGGUAUGCCAGGAAGGUGUUUGAUAAAAUACCUGAGAGAGACACCGUGUUGUGGAACACCAUGAUUACUGGACUGGUGAGGAACUGUUGUUAUGACGAUUCUGUUCAAGUGUUUCGGGACAUGGUGGCGCAAAAGGUGCAGUUGGAUUCCACCACGGUGGCUACUGUGCUUCCGGCUGUUGCAGAGAUGCAAGAGGGGAAAGUUGGGAUGGGGAUUCAGUGUUUGGCUUUGAAACUUGGAUUUCAUUUUGAUGACUACGUGUUAACGGGUUUGAUUUCGGUUUUUUCAAAAUGUGGGGAUGUUGACACGGCCAAGUUGUUGUUUGGGAUGAUUAAGAAGCCGGAUUUGGUUUCUUACAAUGCCAUGAUUUCUGGGUUUAGUUGUAAUGGUGAGACUGAGUGUGGGGUGAAGCUUUUUAGAGAAUUGCUUGUUUCUGGGGAGAGAGUGAGUUCUAGCACAAUGGUUGGGUUGAUUCCUGUGUCUUCUCCCUUUGGGCAUUUGCAUUUGGCUUGCUGUAUUCAGGGGUUUUGUGUGAAGUCCGGUUUUAUUUUGCAUCCUUUGGUUUCAACUGCACUCACGACUAUAUACAGCAGGCUCAAUGAAAUAGAUUUGGCACGGCGGUUGUUUGACGAAUCAUCGGAGAAAACCGUGGCUGCUUGGAAUGCUAUGAUUUCAGGUUAUACACAGAAUGGUUUAACGGAGACGGCUAUCUCUCUUUUUCAGGAGAUGAUGGCGACUGAUUUUAUUCCGAAUCCAGUCACCAUUACGAGUAUUCUUUCAGCUUGUGCUCAAUUAGGAGCACUGAGUUUUGGUAAAUGGGUUCAUCAGUUGAUUACAAGCAAAAACCUUGAGCCAAACAUUUAUGUUUUGACUGCUCUGAUUGACAUGUAUGCCAAGUGCGGGAAUAUUUUAGAGGCUUGGCAAUUAUUUGACUCGAUGAGUGAAAAGAAUACCGUCACUUGGAAUACUAUGAUUUUUGGUUAUGGGCUCCAUGGAUAUGGGCAUGAAGCACUUCAGCUUUUUAAUGAGAUGCUGGAAUUGGGGUUUCAGCCAUCAAGUGUUACUUUUCUUUCAGUCUUAUAUGCUUGCAGUCAUGCUGGCUUGGUAAGAGAAGGAGAUGAAAUAUUCAAUGCUAUGGUUAAUAAAUACAGGAUUGUGCCCUUAGCUGAGCACUAUGCAUGCAUGGUGGAUAUUUUGGGACGAGCUGGACAGUUACAAAAAGCCUUAGAAUUUGUAAGGAGAAUGCCUGUUGAACCAGGACCUGCAGUAUGGGGUACAUUACUUGGUGCUUGCAUGAUUCAUAAAGACACGAAAAUUGCCCGUGUGGCUUCAGAAAGGCUAUUUGAACUGGAUUCAGGGAGUGUAGGAUACUAUGUCUUACUUUCUAAUAUAUACUCUGCAGAGAGAAACUUCCCAAAGGCUGCUUCAGUACGGGAAGUAGUUAAAAAAAGAAAACUAUCAAAGACUCCAGGGUGCACUCUAAUUGAGGUUAAUGGGUCCCCACAUGUCUUCGUAUCUGGUGAUCGUUCUCAUUCGCAAGCAUUAGCUAUCUAUGCAAAGCUGGAGAAGUUAACAAGUAAGAUGAGGGAGAUGGGGUAUAAGCCGGAGACAGUUACUGCUUUGCAUGAUGUGGAAGAAGAAGAAAAGGAACUCAUGUUUAAUGUUCAUAGUGAGAAACUAGCUAUUGCUUUUGGCCUUAUUACCUCUGAACCUGGUACUGAGAUCAGGAUAAUCAAGAAUCUUCGGGUUUGUUUAGAUUGUCACACUGCUACUAAGUUUAUUUCAAAGAUCACAGAAAGAGUAAUUGUAGUUAGGGAUGCCAACAGAUUCCACCAUUUCAAAGAUGGGACCUGUUCUUGUGGUGAUUAUUGGUGAAGCUGAGCAAGUAUUUUUUCAGUAAGUUAUAUUUGCCAGAUGCAUCAUAAUCCAAACUUUUGGUUUCAUAUUCUUUACCUUACAACAAUAUAUAUCCGGAGUCUAAAUCCUCUUGUGGUCAUCCACUUGAGAAGCGAAAAACAUCACAGAAUUGGUUGAAUGGAGCUUUUUAUAGUCACAUCUCUUUUUGCCAAAUUAACCCUGCCCCAGCCCCAGCCCAGCCCCAACCGCAGCCCCAGCCGCAACCUCAGGGCUGUUAAUUAACCUCUUCAAAUUUAAAUUCUUUCCACAAGUGAGAAAGUUUCUUUGCGUCUCCUAUCUAAUCAUCAAGUUCUCUCAGUAUUUUUUUUAUACUGUUCCUUUUUGUGGUGCUUUACUAAGUAUCUUCUGUAGAUCGCAGUUAAAAAACUUUAUGUGCUAUUUAAAGUGUUGAUUGUGAAUAAAUGUGAAGUAAUAAUGAAUUAAUGUAUGUGUUUGGCUCAAAGGAAAACAAAGCGAAGGAAGGAGGACAUUGAGGAUUUUUCUUUCUUUUUAAUUUUAGAGAUGACAGGGCUAAAAUCCCACCCUUCCCAUUUUUGUCUCC